GAUGAAUGCUGGCGGCGUGCUUAACACAUGCAAGUCGAACGAAGCACUAUAGCAGAUUUCCUUCGGGAAUGAAACUGUAUUGACUGAGUGGCGGACGGGUGAGUAACGCGUGGGUAACCUGCCUUGUACAGGGGGAUAACAGUUAGAAAUGACUGCUAAUACCGCAUAAGCAUACAGCAUCGCAUGGUGCAGUGUGAAAAACUAUGGUGGUACAAGAUGGACCCGCGUCUGAUUAGCUAGUUGGUAAGGUAACGGCUUACCAAGGCGACGAUCAGUAGCCGGCCUGAGAGGGUGAACGGCCACAUUGGGACUGAGACACGGCCCAGACUCCUACGGGAGGCAGCAGUGGGGAAUUUUGGACAAUGGGGGCAACCCUGAUCCAGCAAUGCCGCGUGAGUGAAGAAGGCCUUCGGGUUGUAAAGCUCUUUUGUCAGGGAAGAAACGGUUGAUGCUAAUACCAUGAACUAAUGACGGUACCUGAAGAAUAAGCACCGGCUAACUACGUGCCAGCCGCCGCAGUAAGAC
rnacentral:rRNA from 1 species